CAGGGAGUGAGCGGCUGUGCAACAUGAUCGUGCCAUAUUUAAAUGAACGUCGUGGCAAGUCCCCCUUCCUUUGGAAUAAAGAGCAUCACCGUGUCACACGGUCAGAAUCGACACGUCUUCUCCUAACGUAAUCUUCAGUAAUAAUAAAAAAGGAAGAAAAUACUGUUUAUCAAAACCCCAGCUUAGGUAGGUACACCUGUGAUUUAUGGAUUGUGUACAAGGUAAGGAUUGCUACUAGGAGCUUGUGUCUGUAAGUAAAGCGCAAGACAGACCAACACGCACGUCGGCCGUGCGCGUUAGAUCACCUGCUGGGUGUUGAUGAACAGUGGCGAUUCAACAUGUAGAAUCAUUUUGAAAUGAACAGAAAAUGUCCGAUGUUCUGUAGUCAGAGGUGAUAGGAAGGCCACCAGCUGCACACGGACAACAGUUGCGUUGGUCUGUCUUGGCCUUAAAAGAGAGGUAUUGUCUGCAGUUGAAGAUAUCUACUGUGCUAUGAGUUCUGCUUGCUCUUCUGCCCUCACUGCCCUGGCCUGGCAUGGACCCAGAAGACAUAUCCUUAACAGAGUGUAUUAACCUCACUCAGUUAACCUUGACCCCUUCUACCCAGCAGCUCACACAGCCCUGAUGGUCAAUGGAAGCGGAGUAGAUUCAUUAUGAGGAUGGUGUAGUUGCUUUUAAGAAGCUAUACAUGAAAUAACAUUCUCAAGACCUAAUGUAUUUGUGAUGCCAUUAGUGUUUUAUUGUCAAUGUUCUUAUUGUCAUAUUUAGAAAUGAAUGUGGAGCUAUUAUACUGUGCUGGGAAAAAAGGAUUUUGACAUAGUUGUGCCUCUCCUUCACUUGGAUUUUCAUUUGUAUAUGUGUAUGUGAUUCUGUGUUUGUGUGUGUGUGUGUGACCACACGGCAAGUUUACCUCGGGUGACCCCCGCUGACCUGAGGCAUCCCAGCGGAGGUCAAGCCUUGACAAAUGAGUUCAGGCGCAGAACAGCAAACAUUCCACAACAUGUUCUUCCUCAACAACUCCCCCUCUUCUCCCUAUCUCUCUCUAUACUCCUCCUCUGAACAUCUAUCUCGUCAAAAGGUUGUAAGAAUGAGCUUAUCACACAUAAACAUAAUGGCAGAAGGUUGUGGAAAUGUUCCAGAACAUGAACUUCAGAGGAGGACAAACCUUAAUGUGCUACUUUUAUCUAAUGCUCUACAAAGUUCUGUCUUGUUUACAAAUGAAUAAGGAAAAAUAAUAAAGGGAUGGCAGUUGAAAAAACAAAGUAAACCCAUUGGAUGUUAGUAUCAAACUACUCUUUAUCAGUGUUUGGGGCUUCAGAACUGGGCAGUGAUGUAGAGGCUGAGAAAAGAUAUAGUGUUUAAACAGGAUGUGUAGGAUGUAGCAUUUCUGGCAACAUCCCAUUCUCCCCCCCCCCCCCCCCCCCCAAUCUCUCGCUCUCUCCCCAGUUUCUCUCUGAUUUCCCAGCAUGCUGCUGUCACCUGUGUCAGGCUAUUGGUAUUCUUCUUUGAGAGGCUCAUUAAGGUAAGUGGCACCCCCCAUUACGACGACAAGGCGAGCAAAGGCUCCUCUUGUCCCGCGGGUCCCCCAGGGAGUUCUCCUACCAUCUCCUCCACCCCAGUCAUGCCCACUACUCACUACAUUUUUUAAGAACACAUGCGGUCGCCACAGGUGAACCACUACGUCACAGGCAGAUCCAUACUGGAACAGAGGAAGCUAAUGCAAUGCAGUGCUGGGAUACCCUACAUAAAUCAUGAUUGUGUGUAAUAGCAUUACUGUCAGAGAAAGCAACAUAGCAUGUCUGAAUAAAAGGACCAAUAAAUAUC